UACAGAGGGGGCAAGCGUUGUUCGGAAUUACUGGGCGUAAAGGGCGCGUAGGCGGCCCGCUAAGUCGAACGUGAAAUCCCUGGGCUCAACCCAGGAACUGCGUCCGAUACUGGCGGGCUUGAAUCCGGGAGAGGGAUGCGGAAUUCCAGGUGUAGCGGUGAAAUGCGUUGAGAUCGGGAGGAACACCAGUGGCGAAGGCGGCACCCUGGCUGAGGUCUGACGCUGAAGCGCGACAGCGUGGGGAGCAAACGGG
rnacentral:rRNA from 1 species